UUAUUGCAUUGUUCAAGGGUGUUUUUACAUAGUCCUAAAGAGUCUGAAACAUUCUAUAAAUCUUGGAUAGCUGAGUUAUUGAGAACUAAUGAUUUUCUCACUCAUUAUAUUUUGGAAUUGUAUAAAGGUGUAUCUGUUAUAGUUCAUCCAAAGAUAACUGUAAUUAGAUAUAAAAUUGAUAGCAAUAGAUUGACUAACUUGAAUUGCAUAA
rnacentral:lncRNA from 1 species